CAAAGCUCACGGUCGCUCCAGCCACGUCUGUACCAGCCCAAGGCUCAUCCCUGGGAUGGGGGCUGGAGAAGGCACACUCAGUAAUAUGGAAGAUCAUCAACAAAAACUGAAAUUUCUCCCAUGCACACAGAUCACUUACUUCUCUUCAACCCUAGAAGGUGCAUAUGGUGAUGAGGACCACUGCCACCCUUCCAUAGACUGUCUCUGGCUGUGGUCUGUCUGACAAGUGAUGAGGAACGGAAGAAACUCAGAAGUGCACCAUGUGGGAGAGCAUCCUGUAUUUUUCUUCUGGUGUUGCUUUGCAUAGCAUCCACUCUGCCAAGUAACAGAUACUUGAUGUAGAUGCUGGAAAGUACAUUUCCUUAUAUGUGAAAGAGGAGCAUAUAUGGCAAAGAUUUUGUUGUACAAGUCAUGACUUGCAAAACCCAGGUUCCUCCUAAUCUUUUCAGGCAUCUUUUUUUCCUUGUCCCUUUCCCAUUCACCUAUGUCCCAUAUCUGGGCUAUCACACAAUCUGCUUGCACAGUGAACUAUCAGGAAGAGUUCAUUCAGAUGUCAGAAAAUCCACUUGCAGCAUGCAUCCUUCCACCUGGAGGGCGCCUGAUGGGACCUCAUUCUCUUAUAUCCUGUUCAUCUCUGAAAAAGGAAAUGGAUACUCAAAGGUGGAUUUCCUACUUUGUGAGGCUUCAUUUCAUGUCUUUGCCUCAGUUCUGAUUCCCGCUGCGAACUUUCCCUCUUGUCUGUAGCAACAGGCACACAUUUACCUUGCAGAAGACAUAUGCACCAUUUGGGUAGGCUUCAG
ensembl:lncRNA